GCGGAUUUAGCUCAGUUGGGAGAGCGCCAGACUGAAGAUUUGACUUCAGUCGCUGAUAUCUGGAGGUCCUGCGUUCGAUCCGCAGAAUUCGCA
rnacentral:tRNA from 2 species